GCGGAUGUGGCGGAAUUGGCGAGCUGCUCUAGCCAGCGUGGGGGUUCGACUCCCUUCAUCCGCACCA
rnacentral:tRNA from 1 species